rnacentral:rRNA from 1 species
GCAGGCCUAACACAUGCAAGUCGGACGGUAGCACAGAGGAGCUUGCUCCUCGGGUGACGAGUGGCGGACGGGUGAGUAAUGUCUGGGGAUCUGCCCGAUAGAGGGGGAUAACCACUGGAAACGGUGGCUAAUACCGCAUAACGUCGCAAGACCAAAGAGGGGGACCUUCGGGCCUCUCACUAUCAGAUGAACCCAGAUGGGAUUAGCUAGUAGGCGGGGUAACGGCCCACCUAGGCGACGAUCCCUAGCUGGUCUGAGAGGAUGACCAGCCACACUGGAACUGAGACACGGUCCAGACUCCUACGGGAGGCAGCAGUGGGGAAUAUUGCACAAUGGGCGCAAGCCUGAUGCAGCCAUGCCGCGUGUAUGAAGAAGGCCUUCGGGUUGUAAAGUACUUUCAGCGGGGAGGAAGGCAGUGAGGUUAAUAACCUUACUGAUUGACGUUACCCGCAGAAGAAGCACCGGCUAACUCCGUGCCAGCAGCCGCGGUAAUACGGAGGGUGCAAGCGUUAAUCGGAAUUACUGGGCGUAAA